rnacentral:lncRNA from 1 species
UGCUGAUUACAUUUUGGCCAUCGUACGUACUCAUGUCACUAUAAUAGACACACAACCUAAACUAAUUUUAUAUAUUUAUCAUCUAAAUACUACCAUAUAAAAUAAAUUAGAAUUGUUAGAACUAAGGCUGACCCCAAACAACAUAACUUCAACCACUACACGAACAUUCCACGCAAUACAACAUCAAAACUGUUGUCAUUGAGUAAUAGUACCAGUCAGAUUCCACCCUAGCAAUAAUCACUUGCAUCCUACUCGACCCGCCGAUUCGAUCCACAUAAGGGAAAUUCUUUAGCCAGAUCGGAGCCACGAAAUCUAAGCAAUAAAACAAAGGUUCGUACUUUAGCUGAAUCAGAGUCAAUCAAGAUCGAGCCUGAGGAGCCUUCUAAAAUCAAUCAAGAAAUUAUUGCUUUUACUGUGGAGGCUUUUCUUUUUGCAGAAAGCCGAUAGAGGAAGUGAGCUUGCGGGAGGCGAUAAAAACAAACUCGUCCCAGCAUAAAUAUCCAUCUGAUUCAAUACCAUCUCGGAGGUUGGAACCACCAAAUCCUUGGUGACCGUCUUUGCCGCAAUUUCCGAGUUCUCUUCCUUCUUAAUUACCAAUGACGACUCGUUGCAUUAGUCAACGCUUCGCCACGUUUCUAAAUUUUGAUCUGGUUGUUUUAAUCUCUUCAGUUAAGACGCUGAAAAGCUGAGGCUACACACCGUCUCAGAAGUCGGGGAUAUGGAUUCACUAGAGAAGAUGGUUUCUUAACAUAGAUACUCGCUGGCGAUUUUGGUGGCGUUGAUGCUUGGUGGGUGCCGACAGUUUUGGUGGUUUUUGGUUAUG